CAAUAGCGUAUAUUAAAGUUGUUGCAGUUAAAAAGCUCGUAGUUGGAUUUCUGGUAGGAGUGACCGUUCCGAACUUGAUUGUUCGUGUAUUGUGUUUUCUCCAGCCAUCCUUGUGGAGAACUUUUCUUGCAUUAAUUUGUAGGGAUUGGGACCCGCAUCGUUUACUGUGAAAAAAUUAGAGUGUUUAAAGCAGGCAAUCGCUUGAAUACAUUAGCAUUGAAUAAUAAGAUAGGACUUUGGUACUAUUUUGUUGGUUUGCAUACCAAAUUAAUGAUCAACAGGAACAGUUUGAGGAUAUUCGUAUGAACAUGUCAGAGGUGAAAUUCUUGGAUUUUGAUCAGACGAACUACUGCGAAAGCAUUUAUCAAGGAUGUUUUCAUUAA
rnacentral:rRNA from 1 species